rnacentral:rRNA from 1 species
AUACGGAGGGUGCAAGCGUUAAUCGGAAUUACUGGGCGUAAAGCGUACGUAGGCGGUCCGUUAAGUUAGAUGUGAAAGCCCCGGGCUUAACCUGGGAACUGCAUUUAAAACUGGCGGACUAGAGUUGAGUAGAGGGGAGUGGAAUUUCAGGUGUAGCGGUGAAAUGCGUAGAGAUCUGAAGGAACACCAGUGGCGAAGGCGACUCCCUGGACUCGAACUGACGCUGAGGUACGAAAGCGUGGGUAGCAAACGGGAUUAGAAACCCCAGUAGUCC